rfam:Eimeria necatrix Houghton genomic scaffold, Enh_scaff156
GCGGGGUUGGUGUAGUGGUUAUCACGUCUGCUUUACACGCAGAAGGCCGCGGGUUCGAACCCCGCACCCCGUA